AUUGAACGCUGGCGGCAGGCCUAACACAUGCAAGUCGAACGAGUGGCGGACGGGUGAGUAAUGUCUGGGAAACUGCCCGAUGGAGGGGGAUAACUACUGGAAACGGUAGCUAAUACCGCAUACCAUUUGAUGGGCCCAGAUGGGAUUAGCUUGUUGGUGGGGUAAAGGCUCACAAAGGCGACGAUCCCUAGCUGGUUUGAGAGGAGGACCAGCAACACGGGAACUGAGACACGGUCAAGACUCCGACGGGAGGCAGCAGUGGGGAAUAUGGCACAAUGGGCGCAAGCCUGAUGCAGCCAUUCCGCGUGUAUGAAGAAGGCCUUCGGGUUGUAAAGUACUUUCGGCGGAGAGGCGUUACCCGCAGAAUAAGCACCGGCUAACUCCGUGCCAGCAGCCGCGGUAAUUC
rnacentral:rRNA from 1 species